GACGAACGCUGGCGGCGUGCUUAACACAUGCAAGUCGAACGGAAAGGCCCUGCUUUUGUGGGGUGCUCGAGUGGCGAACGGGUGAGUAACACGUGAGUAACCUGCCCUUGACUUUGGGAUAACUUCAGGAAACUGGGGCUAAUACCGGAUAGGAGCUCCUGCUGCAUGGUGGGGGUUGGAAAGUUUCGGCGGUUGGGGAUGGACUCGCGGCUUAUCAGCUUGUUGGUGGGGUAGUGGCUUACCAAGGCUUUGACGGGUAGCCGGCCUGAGAGGGUGACCGGCCACAUUGGGACUGAGAUAGGGCCCAGACUCCUACGGGAGGCAGCAGUGGGGAAUAUUGCACAAUGGGCGGAAGCCUGAUGCAGCAACGCCGCGGGCGGAAUGACGGCCUUCGGGUUGUAAACCGCUUUCGCCUGUGACGAAGCGUGAGUGACGGUAAUGGGUAAAGAAGCACCGGCUAACUACGUG
rnacentral:rRNA from 1 species